rnacentral:rRNA from 1 species
AUGGUUGCUGCCUUGUUGAAAGAGGCACACUAUAGUCGUGUUCGGGAUGCUGGAUUUGGUGUUGUCUUUGAACUGGCAGUAAAGAAAAAUGUGUCGCACAUUCUUAUGUGCUAUUUGAUGGGAGUGUUUGACCCUACCACCAUGGAUGACUCGUUGAGUGCCCUCAAGGAUGAGCUUGGCUUUGACCGUUCAAAAAGUAUAGGUGCCAAGGACUUGCUUGAGAAGUUGAAGGUGUUGGUGGAGGAGGAUGAUCAUGUGACUGUUGACCUUGCUGUGAAGGUGUUCUUCCUGAUACUCUACCAGAAUUUGUUGUGUCCCGGGCCUGCAGUUCGUUUGGGUAGAGUUGCUGCAAUGGUAGAGAACAUGGAUUAUGCGUCUAUGGCUCAGAUGGACUUUUGCCAGCUUGUUGUUGAUGAGUUGCAGGCAGCUGUGGUGAGGUGGCAAACAGAAGGCAACAAGCAGAAUAGUGCAGAGGGUUGUGCCAUUGUCCCCCUGAUUAUGUAUCUUGACUGCUUGAAGCUUCACAAAUUUUCAGUCAUGCACACGUUGACGCCACGUGCGUCAUACCUGACAACCAAGGACCUGAUGAAGUUAUACAAUGAGGAUGUGCUUGUGAAGGGAAAUAUUUACUUGGAAACUUACAAAUUUGGGAAGCUGCCGUGGAAGGCGUCAGGUGAUAUUGUGUACAAUUGUCCUGUUGUAGUUGUAUGCGGCAGCUCUGAUGCGGGACCUAGCACUCAUGCUAGGUUUUAUGAGCCUAUAUGUAGCCAGUUUCCUGCCUAUGAUGAUGAGGUGCCGCGUACUCAUGGUUUCAUGGCUCGACAGAUGUUUGAUAAUAGAAGCUCUUCUAAACAGACAUUUGUUGGCGGCAAAAAACACAAGGAGAUUGAUGAGCUUCUUCUAAAGAUUGCAGUGACGAAUGUUCGGUCUUCGUAUGCUCAAUUGAGACAUUCACAAGAGGAAAAAUGCGGUCGGUAUGAGAAGGAUGCUGGGCAUAUUUUGGAUGAAAUGAACCGUCAGGACGCUGGUGUUGGUGCUGAUAAUGCUGGAGUGGAGUCUUCUGGUGUCCAUGGAACUAGGGACGAUGGAAUUGCUCAGCCUCAAGAAGAAAACGUGGAAGUUCACGUUGAUCUGAAUCAGGGCAGUUGUGUUGUUGAUGGUGGUGGUAGUGUUGGUGCUUCUGCAUCGGUAGCUGUCGACUGUGCAGACCCUUCUGUAGCUCAAGAAUCCCAUGAUGCUCUUCCCCCCAGUCGGCAUGAAGAUUCUAAUUUUGGCAUUGAAAAGCCGCUGGAGAAUGUCGUCACUGCUACUGUUGUAAAUCCAGAGAAUGCUGAUGUUGCUGCAGAAGCGAAGUCCAAUGACGAACUUUCUGUUGUGACACCGUCGAGCAUUGAUCCAGCUCUUCUGAAAAGAUACAAUGAGUUGUACGCUGCUGUUACGAGGGUUCGGAAGGACAAGAAGAAGAAGGACAUGAUUGCUUUUAAAACUGAGUUGGGUGAUAUUACCAUUGGCGAAGUUGGUCAAUCCUUUUGGGAUAAGGGGAUGCUCACUACAAGACUUGUAGAUCUUGGGGUUUCUUUGCUGGUAGAUAAGUUUAAGGGAUCUCCGACAAUGGUUGUCCCGUACCAUAUUUGUUAUUGGCAGAAAAAUAUUUGGAAUGGUGGUACUGUAGGCAGGAGUGUUAAAAUGAUGUUCUUUUCAAAAGCCGAGGAGCGUGUUGAUAAAAAGGAUAUGGUCCUUUUUGCAACAUUUGAUCCACCAGAUACAAGGGAUGGCGUUGGUGAUUAUUGUGUAGUUGCGUUAAAUGUGAAAGAAAGGCGGUUUGAAUUUCUUGACUCGCUCAAUAAACCUAGCAGCCCUGAUGCGAUCAUGGUUUUUAGGAGGAUGGUUAAAAAUAUCAAGCGUGCAUGGAAAGAAGGAAGCUCAAGUUCUGAUGAGCCGCUAGAUCCUCCUACACUUGAUGGAUUUGGGUUGAAACAUGUCGUUGUCCCAAUGCAACCUAAUGGGCAUGAUUGUGGAUUCUAUAUGUUCCAAUUCUUGCAGACUUGGGAUGGUGUUCGAGUUGCUCAGUUUGGGGUGGAGCACAUUGGCUACAUCAGAACGGCCAUACUCUAUAGUUUUUUUGGGGGGCUUCAUGAAGGUUGUACGUCACUGUUUGAGUCACAGGGUUCUGAUGUGGUUAUGGAGGAUUGCGCCAUUGAAAUCUCUCUAGAUAAUUCUGGUUCUUUGGCUGGAGAUGGUUUGUACACAGCUGUGGCGUCUGGACCUGAUGGUGGAAGUGUUUCUCGCCCUAGCUUCCCACGUGAUGUAUUUGAUGUUGAUGAUGAUGAUUUUGUUACGACGUGUCCUCGCGUCACGAGGACUCGGUGUGCAGCAAUUAAUCAUCCUCUUGUGGAUGAUGUUGAAGUUUUUUCGAACAAGAGGGCAGGUGAGAGGGCUUUUAAGUUGAGAUGCUCUAUAGAGAAAUUGAAGCCUCCGAGGUUCAAAUAUAUUGAUGAGGCGAGGAAAAUAAAGGAUCUUGUUCUCAGCAAAGAAUUAGUAACCAAAUGCCACGAGAAUGCGUUCUUUAUGGUGAACAGUCCUUUUGGUGAUGUUGAUACUUACACUGUUGACUAUAUCUAUAAUACAUUUGGCAAAGGAGCUUUAGUGGAUUCAUAUCUCAUGGAUUUUGUCAUCAAGUACUAG